rnacentral:rRNA from 1 species
CGGGUGAGUAAUACAUAAGUAACCUGCCCUAGACAGGGGGAUAACUAUUGGAAACGAUAGCUAAGACCGCAUAGGUACGGACACUGCAUGGUGACCGUAUUAAAAGUGCCUCAAAGCACUGGUAGAGGAUGGACUUAUGGCGCAUUAGCUGGUUGGCGGGGUAACGGCCCACCAAGGCGACGAUGCGUAGCCGACCUGGGAGGGUGACCGGCCACACUGGGACUGAGACACGGCCCAG